CGUAGGGUGCAAGCGUUAAUCGGAAUUACUGGGCGUAAAGCGUGCGCAGGCGGUUUGGUAAGACAGAUGUGAAAUCCCCGGGCUCAACCUGGGAAUUGCAUUUGUGACUGCCCGGCUAGAGUGUGUCAGAGGGGGGUAGAAUUCCACGUGUAGCAGUGAAAUGCGUAGAUAUGUGGAGGAAUACCGAUGGCGAAGGCAGCCCCCUGGGAUAACACUGACGCUCAUGCACGAAAGCGUGGGGAGCAAACAGGAUUAGAUACCCUGGUAGUCCACGCCCUAAACGAUGUCUACUAGUUGUCGGGUCUUAAUUGACUUGGUAACGCAGCUAACGCGUGAAGUAGACCGCCUGGGGAGUACGGUCGCAAGAUUA
rnacentral:rRNA from 1 species